AUAACUUGAUAUAACUUCACGGACAUGAUGUCAGACUUUUAUAUUAUAAAAGUUCAAUUUAAAUUGAACUCCAAAACUUUUUGAAGUACUAGAGAAAACAAGAAUUAUAGUUACUCACUAGGUCCCAGCAAUUCUAGUGCUAAUGUGAGUAUUUUCCUCCUCAUCAAGCUUGGCCAAACCAAAAUCAGAUAUCUUUGGGUCAAGAUUGGUAUCAAGCAAUACAUUAGUGGCCUUGAUGUCCCUGUGAACAACCUUCAGUCUUGAUUCUUCAUGGAGGUAUGAGGGUCAAGAUUGGUAUCAAGCAAUACAUUAGUGGCCUUGAUGUCCCUGUGAACAACCUUCAGUCUUGAUUCUUCAUGGAGGUAUGCCAAACCUCUAGCAAUACCAACACAAAUCUUCUGCCUUGUUGACCAAUCUAAUUUAAUUUGGUGUUCCUCUGGCCCUUUAUUUGUACAUGUAAUAAAAAUCAGACAACGUUACCAGAUAGUCAUGUGCUAAGUUAGAAAAUGUGGACUAUCAAAUAAGUAGAAACCUGAAGAAGACCAUAUAGGAAAAAUU
rnacentral:lncRNA from 1 species